UAACUCUAGGCGAUAUUUGUGGGAGCGCUCAGUACUCUAUGUGUCGAAACAUGCCCAAGGGACCAUUUCCAACUUCCAGAUUUGCAGUGCUGCCCUAACUGCCUAGAAGGUUGGUAUGUUGCCAAGAACUGCUCCGAAGGAUCCGGAGUCUACAUUGGUGUGGGUUGUAAUAAAUGCAGCAGAUGUGAAGAAACUGGACAGAUAACUGUUUCCAGCUGCACGCAGUUCGCAGACACACAGUGUGCCAUGG